UNUGACUUGAGUGCAGAAGGGGAGAGUGGAAUUCCAUGUGUAGCGGUGAAAUGCGUAGAUAUAUGGAGGAACACCAGUGGCGAAAGCGGCUCUCUGGUCUGUCACUGACGCUGAGGCUCGAAAGCGUGGGUAGCGAACAGGAUUAGAUACCCUGGUAGUNCACGCCGUAAACGAUGAGUGCUAGGUGUUAGGCCCUUUCCGGGGCUUAGUGCCGGAGCUAACGCAAUAAGCACUCCGCCUGGGGAGUACGACCGCAAGGUUGAAACUCAAAGGAAUUGACGGGGGCCCGCACAAGCGGUGGAGCAUGUGGUUUAAUUCGAAGCAACGCGAAGAACCUUACCAGGUCUUGACAUCCCGAUGCUAUUCUUAGAGAUAGGAAGUUACUUCGGUACAUCGGAGACAGGUGGUGCAUGGUUGUCGUCAGCUCGUGUCGUGAGAUGUUGGGUUAAGUCCCGCAACGAGCGCAACCCUUAUUGUUAGUUGCCAUCAUUAAGUUGGGCACUCUAGCGAGACUGCCGGUAAUAAACCGGAGGAAGGUGGGGAUGACGUCAAAUCAUCAUGCCCCUUAUGACCUGGGCUACACACGUGCUACAAUGGUCGGUACAACGAGUUGCGAGCCGGUGACGGCAAGCUAAUCUCUGAAAGCCGAUCUCAGUUCGGAUUGGAGGCUGCAACUCGCCUCCAUGAAGUCGGAAUCGCUAGUAAUCGCGGAUCAGCACGCCGCGGUGAAUACGUUCCCGGGCCUUGUACACACCGCCCGUCACACCACGAGAGUUUGUAACACCC
rnacentral:rRNA from 1 species